GAGCGGGUCCAGACUAGCAUGCAUGUCUAAGUAUAAGUAUUAUACAGCGAAACUGCGAAUGGCUCAUUAAAACAGUUAUAGUUUAUUUGAUAAUCAAAUUUACAUGGAUACCCGUGGUAAUUCUAGAGCUAAUACAUGCUGUUUUGCCCAACUUUUUGGAAGGGCGGUAUUUAUUAGAUAACAAGCCAAUAUUCCUCUGGUCUAUUGUGGUGACUCAUGAUAACUGAUCGAAUCGCAAAGUUUUUAACUGCGAUACAUCAUUCAAGUUUCUGCCCCAUCAGCUUUCGAUGGUAGUGUAUUGGACUACCAUGGCAUUUACGGGUAACGGAGGAUUAGGGUUCGAUUCCGGAGAGGGAGCCUGAGAAACGGCUACCACAUCUAAGGAAGGCAGCAGGCGCGUAAAUUACCCAAUCCCGACUCGGGGAGGUAGUGACAAGAAAUAGCGGACAGAGACCCUCGUGGUUUCUGGAUUGCAAUGAGCCGAAUUUACACCCAUUAGCGAAGGUCGAUUGGAGGGCAAGUCUGGUCCCCCCGUGCCCCCGCCCCGCCCGGGGCGCGCCCCGGGCAAGGCGGGGUCACGGGGGUUCCAAACUUAUUUCCAGUAGACCUUUGCAAAGGGGUGAAAAUUCGGCUUUAGCAAUAAAGAAAAUAGGUUGGUUCUUUUUUUAUUUUUUUUUCCCAUUUCUUGAUUUGUGAAUUUUUUUUCUGUUGCCCCUUUUGAUUGCAAACAUUUCUAAGGUCCUCCCCGGAUUCUAAUCUU
rnacentral:rRNA from 1 species